UACAGAGGGUGCAAGCGUUGUUCGGAAUUAUUGGGCGUAAAGGGCGCGUAGGCGGUGCGGUAAGUCUGUAGUGAAAUCUCUGGGCUCAACUCAGAGUCUGCUGCAGAAACUGCCGUGCUUGAGUGUGGGAGAGGUGAGUGGAAUUCCCGGUGUAGCGGUGAAAUGCGUAGAUAUCGUGAGGAAUACCAAGUGCGAAGGCAGGACUCUGGACAUUUUCUGACGCUGAGACACGAAGGCCAGGGGAGCAAACGGG
rnacentral:rRNA from 1 species